CAUUUUGUCCGUUAUUCUUCAUUUUUUAGAACCCAAUUGUUCUCUUUUUUUUUUUUUUUGGGUGAUUGUUCUUUUGUAUUGAUCCCUUUUUCUGUAUUCUGUAAACCCAAUCAGACCCCCAGUAAACCAACUUAUUUUCACAGAUAUUUAACAAUUAGCACUUUCUACAUGUUCUCCAAACAAUUGAAUUUUAUGAUAUUCUAAAAGCAUUUUUUAAAUAAUGAAAGUUUAAAAUUGAGUUGGUUUUCCUUGUAUUCAAAGUUUUGUAAACAGUAAACUAAG
rnacentral:lncRNA from 1 species